rnacentral:rRNA from 1 species
AUUGAACGCUGGCGGCAGGCCUAACACAUGCAAGUCGAGCGGAUGAAGGGAGCUUGCUCCUGGAUUCAGCGGCGGACGGGUGAGUAAUGCCUAGGAAUCUGCCUGGUAGUGGGGGAUAACGUCCGGAAACGGGCGCUAAUACCGCAUACGUCCUGAGGGAGAAAGUGGGGAAUCUUGGACCCUACGCCAUUCGGAUAGCCUAGGUCGGAUUAGCUAGUUGGUGGGGUAAAGGCCUACCAAGGCGACGAUCCGUAACUGGUCUGAGAGGAUGAUCAGUCACACUGGAACUGAGACACGGUCCAGACUCCUACGGGAGGCAGCAGUGGGGAAUAUUGGACAAUGGGCGAAAGCCUGAUCCAGCCAUGCCGCGUGUGUGAAGAAGGUCUUCGGAUUGUAAAGCACUUUAAGUUGGGAGGAAGGGCAGUAAGUUAAUACCUUGCUGUUUUGACGUUACCAACAGAAUAAGCACCGGCUAACUUCGUG